rnacentral:rRNA from 1 species
GGAGGGUGCAAGCGUUAAUCGGAAUUACUGGGCGUAAAGCGUGCGUAGGCGGUUUAUUAAGUCAGAUGUGAAAGCCCCGGGCUUAACCUGGGAACUGCAUUUGAAACUGGUCAACUAGAGUAUGGUAGGGGAAAGUGGAAUUUCUGGUGUAGCGGUGAAAUGCGUAGAUAUCAGAAGGAACAUCAAUGGCGAAGGCAGCUUUCUGGACCAAUACUGACGCUGAGGUACGAAAGCGUGGGUAGCAAACAGGAUUAGAUACCCUGGUAGUCCACGCCGUAAACGAUGAUAACUAGCCGUUGGGGGGAUUUACCCCUUAGUGGCGAAGCUAACGCGUUAAGUUAUCCGCCUGGGGAGUACGGCCGCAAGGCUAAAACUCAAAGGAAUUGACGGGGACCCGCACAAGCGGUGGAGCAUGUGGUUUAAUUCGAUGCAACGCGAAGAACCUUACCUGGUCUUGACAUCCUGCGAACUUUCUAGAAAUAGAUUGGUGCCUUCGGGAACGCAGUGACAGGUGCUGCAUGGUUGUCGUCAGCUCGUGUCGUGAGAUGUUGGGUUAAGUCCCGUAACGAGCGCAACCCCUAUCCUUAUUUGCCAGCACAUUAUGGUGGGAACUAUAAGGAGACUGCCGGUGAUAAACCGGAGGAAGGCGGGGACGACGUCAAGUCAUCAUGGCCCUUACGACCAGGGCUACACACGUGCUACAAUGGGAAGUACAAAGAGUCGCGAAGCCGCGAGGUGUAGCUAAUCUCACAAAUCUUCUCGUAGUCCGGAUUGGAGUCUGCAACUCGACUCCAUGAAGUCGGAAUCGCUAGUAAUCGUAGAUCAGAAUGCUACGGUGAAUACGUUCCCGGGUCUU